rnacentral:misc_RNA from 2 species
AACGCACAUUGCGCCCGCCGGCAUUCCGGCGGGCAUGCCUGUCCGAGCGUCAUUUCGACCAUCAAGCCCCGGGCUUGUGUUGGGGACCUGCGGCUGCCCGCAGGCCCCGAAAACCAGUGGCGGUGCCCGCUGUCACCCCGAGCGUAGUAGCAACCACCUCGCUCAGGGCGUGCUCCGGGUCCCGGCCGUUAAACGGAAAGCAACCCCCCAAAGGUUGACCUCGGAUCAGGUAGGAGGACCCGCUGAACUUAA